rnacentral:rRNA from 1 species
UGCCUUAGUAACGGCGAGUGAAGCGGCAACAGCUCAAAUUUGAAAGCUGGCCCUUUCAGGGUCCGCAUUGUAAUUUGUAGAGGAUGAUUCGGCGAGGGCUCCCGCCUAAGUCCCCUGGAACGGGGCGUCAUAGAGGGUGAGAAUCCCGUAUGCGGUGGGCUGCCUUAGCCAUGUGAAUCUCCUUCGACGAGUCGAGUUGUUUGGGAAUGCAGCUCUAAAUGGGAGGUAAAUUUCUUCUAAAGCUAAAUACCGGCCAGAGACCGAUAGCGCACAAGUAGAGUGAUCGAAAGAUGAAAAGCACUUUGGAAAGAGAGUUAAAAAGUACGUGAAAUUGUUGAAAGGGAAGCGCUUGCAACCAGACUUGUCCGCAGUUGCUCAGCCGGUCUCCUGACCGGCGUACUCUUCUGCGGCCAGGCCAGCAUCAGUUCGGGCGGUCGGAUAAAGACCUCGGGAAUGUAGCUCCUCUCGGGGAGUGUUAUAGCCCGGGGUGGAAUGCGGCCAGCCUGGACUGAGGAUCUCGCUUCGGCAAGGAUGCUGGCGUAAUGGUUGUAAGCGGCCCGUCUUGAAACACGGACCAAGGAGUCUAACAUCUAUGCGAGUGUUUGGGUGUCAAACCCAUACGCGUAAUGAAAGUGAACGGAGGUGGGAACCCGCAAGGGUGCACCAUCGGCCGAUCCUGAUGUCUUCGGAUGGAUUUGAGCAAGAGCAUAGCUGUUGGGACCCGAAAGAUGGUGAACUAUGCCUGAAUAGGGUGAAGCCAGAGGAAACUCUGGUGGAGGCUCGCAGCGGUUCUGACGCGCAAAUCGAUCGUCAAAUUUGGGUAUAGGGGCGAAAGACUAAUCGAACCAUCUAG